rnacentral:rRNA from 1 species
UACGUAGGGGGCGAGCGUUAUCCGGAUUCAUUGGGCGUAAAGCGCUUAAAGGCGGUUCGCUAAGUCGGGUGUGAAACCUCCAGGCUCAACCUGGAGACGCCACUCGAUACUGGCGUGACUAGAGUCCGGUAGGGGACCACGGAAUUCCUGGUGUAGCGGUGAAAUGCGCAGAUAUCAGGAGGAACACCAGUGGCGAAGGCGGUGGUCUGGGCCGGAACUGACGCUGUAGAGCGAAAGCGUGGGGAGCGAACAGG